rnacentral:tRNA from 1 species
AUUUUUGUAGUUGAAUUUACAACGGUGGUUUUUCAGGCCGCAGGUCUCGGUGGAGCAAAAAUU